UACGUAGGGUGCGAGCGUUGUCCGGAAUUAUUGGGCGUAAAGAGUUCGUAGGCGGUUUGUCGCGUCCGUUGUGAAAGCUUGGGGCUCAACCCCAAGUUUGCAGUGGAUACGGGCAGACUAGAGUCAGGUAGGGGAGAACGGAAUUCCUGGUGUAGCGGUGAAAUGCGCAGAUAUCAGGAGGAACACCGGUGGCGAAGGCGGUUCUCUGGGCCUGUACUGACGCUGAGGAACGAAAGCGUGGGGAGCGAACAGG
rnacentral:rRNA from 1 species